rnacentral:rRNA from 1 species
UGGGGAAUAUUGCACAAUGGAGGGAACUCUGAUGCAGCAACGCCGCGUGCGGGAUGACGGCCUUCGGGUUGUAAACCGCUUUCAGCCAUGACGAAGCUUUUGUGACGGUAGUGGUAGAAGAAGCACCGGCAAACUACGUGCCAGCAGCCGCGGUGAUACGUAGGGUGCGAGCGUUGUCCGGAAUUAUUGGGCGUAAAGAGCUUGUAGGCGGUUUGUCGCGUCGAUAGUGUAAACACGCAGCUUAACUGUGUGCCUGCUGUCGAUACGGGCUGACUAGAGGAGGGUAGGGGAGAAUGGAAUUCCCGGUGGAGCGGUGGAAUGCGCAGAUAUCGGGAGGAACACCAGUGGCGAAGGCGGUUCUCUGGACCUUUCCUGACGCUGAGAAGCGAAAGCGUGGGUAGCAAACAGG